rnacentral:rRNA from 1 species
CCUACGGGACGCAGCAGUAGGGAAUAUUGCUCAAUGGGGGAAACCCUGAAGCAGCGACGCCGCGUGGAGGAUGAAGGUUUUCGGAUUGUAAACUCCUUUUGUUAGAGAAGAUAAUGACGGUAUCUAACGAAUAAGCACCGGCUAACUCUGUGCCAGCAGCCGCGGUAAUACAUAGGGGGCAAGCGUUAUCCGGAUUUAUUGGGUGUAAAGGGUGCGUAGACGGAGAAACAAGUUGGUUGUGAAAUCCCUCGGCUCAACUGAGGAACUGCAACCAAAACUAUUUCCCUUGAGUGUCGGAGAGGAAA